CCCUUUGGGUGAUCAAUCAACUCAACAUGACACCAGAUCGGCAGCAUAGAUUGACCAGACGGUAACUGAUUAGAUGCAGGUUCAUCAUAAUGCUUUAUGAACUGCUUGCAGUCUAGGAGCUUUGACGCUGAGCUGGAGGCAGCCUCCUCUGUGGCUUGUGGCCUGUAGGAUUGCAUGGUCGCAGGACUAAGAAGAGCAUCAUACAGGAAUUUGAGGUCCUGGAGAAGCUGAUCAGCAGAUGGCCUGGACAAGUAUCUGGUGGUCAUUGUCUGGUUUGAAGCUGCCUCAAGCCUGCAUUUUCAGAAGAAAGACCAUUUCGUCGGGCUGCAACAACCGUGCCAUCGCCGAUUGCCUUACCGCCCAGUUCCUUGAGGCAAUGGUCAAGCAGCUCUGGGGAUUUUAUUGCCUGAAAUGUGGCUCCUCUGAGGGCACGCCAUGUCACCCACUUGGAACCCCCAACGGCUCGUAGAACCUUGACCAUAGCCUUCUCUGCUCGUUCAACAUCUUCAUUCGUCCAUGUACCCGACACGCCUGAGGUGGCUUCAGCCCAUUUGCUCAAAGGAUUUUCAGGCUUUCUUUGUUCGCGAGAUUCAUGAAGCAGACGCGUCACAUAGCAGAAGAGAUUUCCUACUGUGACUAAUUGAUGGUCAGACAUGGACCGAUAUAGUGCAAUCACAUUCUGCAAUGGGGUGCGAGGAGAUCGGGCAUGACAGAAGAAGACGGACAGCGGGAUAUUAGAGAGGGUUUCCACAGCUUUCUGAUAGGCCACUGCAGUGAGGGCAAAGCUACCAGCACCAAAUCUGUAUCCCCAAUCCCCAUACCAGGGACGGCCAGCGGUUACAGCAUGGAGGAGCCGAUACUCCAUUCCAUAUUUUUUAGAUAUAUCCAAAACGCUGACCUUUCUGUCAUCACAAAACAAAUGAUCUUUUGGUCACAAACAGAAGAAACAAAAUGCUCGAAAAUUUUUGUUGACCAGUCAUAUGCUCGUAACAAUAAAUGUUCCAUCCAUCUGCUAACCCGAAAAACAAAAGGCUUCAUUCCUACGGUUGAUACUUAAAGAAACGUUUCCAACUUUUAGCCUUUGAUGCAAAUUUAACUAAGAAAUUAAUGCCUGAACUCAUAAUAAAUGUAAAUAAAGAAACAAAUCCAUAAUUCAUAAUAAAAUGCGUUCCUAAUUACAGCUAUCACGGACAAUUGUACAAUGUUAUACAUUGUCGUUCAACUUAUAUUAUAUAUAACCAAGGAUGAUGGUCGCAUCACAGGCAUGAAGCAGAGUCCAAGCAGAAAACUGCACAAACUGGGGGAAUCCCAAUAUCGCUGAAAACAGGUCGGCCUAUCUAUUUGCAGAUUCAAACUAGCGACCGCUCGCUGGAUGACAAACACUGAAAUCACCAUAUUACAACAUUCAAUUUUAUUUCAUAUAGGUAGUUAUUCAAAAUUUAUUCAUGCCAAUAGUCACUUGAUCUAUAUCAACUUCUCUGUAUUUCUAUUUCACAUAUAGCUACAAGCUCUCAAAAAAAAAAGAAGAAGAAAUUUCAUGAUUAAUUUUUAUUUAUUGUCCCCCUAAAGAGUAGUUAGGAUAUUUGAUGCAAAAAUAAAUUAUUAAUUCUUACAUUAUAUAUAUAUAUAUAUAUAUUUAAAUAAUUUUAAUUUUGAAUAUUUUUAAUACAACUUGAUCGGACUAGUGACCUCUAGAUUGAUCUCCAUACGAGUUUAAUAACUACACCUUGUACUCUCAAUUACCAAGCUGUCGCAUGCAAUCUGACUAGUAGAUUCUGUUUCUAUGCUUUAUGAUUAUAUAAUUAUUAUUAUUUUUUAUUAUUAAAUUUUGCAAAUCCAAUAAUGUUCGACUUAUAUCCAUAUCUAUAUAGAAAAAAUUAGGAUAUAACUAUAUUAUUUGACUUGUAUCCACAUUCUUUUCAAAAAGAAUAUAGAUAUACCAAUAUUCAAUCCAUAUCUGAUUUACUUUUGGCGCUAAAUCUUAGUAGCCACCAUGUAAUCAGAAUUUGAUCCUUUAGAACCUAGUGGGUGGAAUUGAAAAAGGAAAAUCUAAUUUCACAAGGCCCAACAAUAAAUAGGUACUAGGUUGAAGCCGGAAAACUCCACAAGCCCCCACACAAAAACAUCAGCUUCAUACCUGACAAUUUGAAAAAUCUCGAGUUGGAAAUUAAAUCCAUGAUCUCCCCUUGAUGAAAGGCUGUGGAGAACAUGGGCUAAACCAUGUAAGUAACAUUAGGAGCACAGGCUAUUUUGACUCAUUGUCUUAUGUUUUCAAUACAGAGCUCUACACUUUGUUAGCAAGCAAUAUUCCAAUACCUCUGAGCUCCUUGCUCAAAGUUCUCUUUUAUUUUCAACUUCUAACCAACUAUUUUGAUCUUCAAACACUCAUUCACAACCUUACAUCCACAUUAUCACAACUCAGCAUUCAUAAUUUGCGGAGUCAAUUAGUGACCAUGUAGCAAAUUUGUUAUUUCCAAUCCGAUCAAACAAUAAAAUUGUCAAUUUUGCAUACAAUAAAAUUGUCAGUUUUGUGGCCUCGUUUUAAGAAGCUGGAGUUUAGCUUGCAAUGUGUUAAAAAUGGCCAUCUAAGGUUUAACCUAAGGUGUACUGCCUACGCACUGCUUUAAUAUAUUGCAUCAUGUUACAGUAUGGGGAAUAAAAUGAUUUAUAGAUGCUGUCUAGUAAAAACUUUCCCUUGAUUCUGGGGGUGAAAGUGAAUCAGAUAUCCGUCCGAAUCCAUUUUCGUAUUCAAAUUUAUCCGAAUAUAAAUAGAAAUUUGAGUAUCCGACUAAUAUCGUAUUCAUAUCCAUAUCCGUCAAAGAAAAAUGGAUAUGGAUAUGGAUAGAUGACUAUCCAAUCUGCAUCCAGAUAUUUGAUUCCAUUUGUAAUUCUAUUUAAUUUUAUAUAACACUCAUAAACUUUACAAAAAAUAAAUGACUACAUUAACAUGCUAUUAACUUGAUUUAUUAUCUACUCGAUAAUAUCUUUAAUUCUGUUGUCAUAAAGCUUAAUUUUUUUUAUUUAUAUCCAUAUUUAUAUCAAUAUUUUUGGUAUCCGAUUUGUAUCUGUAUCCAUUUAAAAUAAAUAUAGAUAUGAAUUUUUGCAUCCAACUAACAUCCGUAUCCGUAUCUAUAUUUGUCAAACAAAACAAAUAUGGAUAUGAAUAUGCUAGUAUCAAAUCCGAUUUCAGCCCUAUUUGAUUCACUAUAUAUCUCAUUUAACAUAUGAUAUCUGUUGUAUUCAAGGUUUCAAAUAAAGUAGGUCUAGGCCAUCUUAGUUUUUCCAUGGAAUAGAACAAUGAACAUCUUGUCCCAUCCUAAUAUAUUUCACAACUCAUCUCAUCCUUACAUUGGACAUUAGGACACUAAACAUCUCUCCAGUAUUUAGCACCUUGAUUGCAUUAAAA